CAUAAAACGAACUAUUAUAGUGCUCAUUACUAAUAAAUAUCUACCUUAGAUUGGUCAGUAAUAGUAGCUCACCCACAAGCGGGAACCCUUUACUAGAGCCGAUAUCGCCUACAGGAACCCGAACCCCACUAUAUCGCAAUAGAAUUUUGCAUUUUAAGCGGAAAGCGAAAACAGAAUAGGAACUAAACGAAAAUUAUAAUCUCCCGUUAAGAAACACCUGCGUUUUAUUGGAGAUUAAAUUUCCGGAAACAUCCUGUCAAACCGUUGACCCAUUGCUGUCACCAACCGUUGACCAAAGGCAAC